GACGAACGCUGGCGGCGUGCUUAACACAUGCAAGUCGAACGGAAAGGCCCUGCUUUUGUUGGGUGCUCGAGUGGCGAACGGGUGAGUAACACGUGAGUAACCUGCCCUUGACUUUGUGAUAACUUCAGGAAACUGGGGCUAAUACCGGAUAGGAGCUCCUGCUGCAUGUUGGGGGUUGGAAAGUUUCGGCGGUUGGGGAUGGACUCGCGGCUUAUCAGCUUGUUGGUGGGGUAGUGGCUUACCAAGGCUUUGACGGGUAGCCGGCCUGAGAGGGUGACCGGCGACAUUGGGACUGAGAGACGGACCAGACUCGUACGGGAGGCAGAAGUGGGGAAUAUUGCACAAUGGGCGGAAGCCUGAGGCAGAAACGCCGCGUGCGGGAUGACGGCCUUCGGGUUGUAAACCGAUUUCGACGGUGACGAAGCGUGAGUGACGGUAAUGGGUAAAGAAGCACCGGCUAACUACGUG
rnacentral:rRNA from 1 species